rnacentral:lncRNA from 1 species
UUCCCAGGAGGCAGGAAUGAGAGGAUGGAGGGCGCAAAGCAGAAGAGGGAGAACGUCCACCCAGAGAGGACAUCCAAGUGGCCGCACCAUGAGCAGCUGGUGCCUGAGCCCGUGGGGACCUUCUGAGAGGCCGUAUCCAUUCUGCCACAGGAACUGGCUGGUCACAUGGAAAAGGCGGAUGUCUGUGUCCAUCACUCUCACCCUCCACCGCCUGAGAGCUGCCCACGGACGGUGACAUGAGAGGGCAGCUAUUCGCACCCCCUCAGCUGGAACUCAGUGACUCAGGCAUGUCUAAGCUCCAAAGGCAGCAGGCGAGAGCCUCAGCCGGCUUAGCCAGGGGCUUGUGGGCUUUCCUGACACCCUGAGAAAGAAAGAACAGGAGAAUGGAUGUCGGUGGACGCGGACAGCAGGACCCGCAGCCGGAGCAAGGCUGGGAAGGAAUGCUGGCAGCAGGCACCUGCCAUACUGUGUCCAACAGAGGAGUGCUCUUUGACAGCUUCGGAGGGUAGUGAUGCCAGUCCUGCUCAGACAGGGAGGACUCGAGGGAG